rnacentral:rRNA from 1 species
UACGUAGGGACCAAGCGUUGCCCGGAAUCAUUGGGCGUAAAGAGCGCGUAGGCGGCUUGUUAAGUCUUGCGUGAAAUCUCGGGGCUCAACCCCGAGCGGUCGUGAGAAACUGGCAGGCUAGAGUGCGGGAGAGGAGAGUGGAAUUCCUGGUGUAGCGGUGAAAUGCGCAGAUAUCAGGAAGAACACCCGUGGCGAAGGCGGCUCUCUGGAACGCAACUGACGCUGAGACGCGAAAGCGUGGGGAGCAAACAGG